GACGAACGCUGGCGGCGUGCCUAAUACAUGCAAGUAGAACGCUGAAGGAGGAGCUUGCUUCUCCGGAUGAGUUGCGAACGGGUGAGUAACGCGUAGGUAACCUGCCUGGUAGCGGGGGAUAACUAUUGGAAACGAUAGCUAAUACCGCAUAAGAGUAGAUGUCGCAUGACAUUUGCUUAAAAGGUGCAACUGCACCACUACCAGAUGGACCUGCGUUGUAUUAGCUAGUUGGUGAUGUAACGGCUCAACAAGGCAACGAUACAUAGCCGACCUGAGAGGGGGAUCGGCCACACUGGGACUGAGACACGGCCCAGACUCCUACGGGAGGCAGCAGUAGGGAAUCUUCGGCAAUGGACGGAAGUCUGACCGAGCAACGCCGCGUGAGUGAAGAAGGUUUUCGGAUCGUAAAGCUCUGUUGUAAGAGAAGAACGAGUGUGAGAGUGGAAAGUUCACACUGUGACGGUAUCUUACCAGAAAGGGACGGCUAACUACGUG
rnacentral:rRNA from 1 species